rnacentral:rRNA from 1 species
UACGUAUGGAGCAAGCGUUAUCCGGAUUUACUGGGUGUAAAGGGAGAGUAGGUGGUCAUACAAGUCUGAAGUGAAAACCCAGGGCUCAACCGUGGGAAUGCUUUGGAAACUGAAUGACUAGAGUGCAGGAGAGGCAAGUGGAAUUUCUAGUGUAGCGGUGAAAUGCGUAGAUAUUAGGAGGAACACCAGUGGCGAAGGCGGCUUGCUGGACUGUAACUGACACUGAGGCUCGAAAGCGUGGGGAGCAAACAGG